CAUGAGCGGUUCCACAAAAUCCUCCACGCUCAGAGCUCAGCAUAUUACGUUUCCAUUUUUCCUCCCAUCUUUCCUAACUACUUCGCCUCUCCAUCCUGGCGGCGACUCACGACCUCCCCAUCAACUUCUCCGUCUAGGACAAAGAUGGCUCCAGGGGGGAAGGGAUCACGAUGCAGAAUGGAACUCUCAGCAGGUAAUUUCAUCUCAAUCGCUCUCAACUUUUAUGGGUUCCAAUGCAUAAAAACUUGAGGACCCAAGUUUGCUAGCAUCGCAGCAUGGAUAUUUUGCGUGUGUUCUGUGUUCCAUAUUUGAGCACGUAUCAAUCAAUCAACCCUACCCAGGUUCUUCAAUAAAGAUUAGAAAUUCCAGAUGGGUAGGACAUGGACUUUCGCCCAAAUUUUGACAUGGAUCUGCACAAUUGCACAUCAGCCGACAAUAUGCAAAAAGAAAGAAAGAAAAUGAAAACCUAGUGUUUUUUUUUUCAAAAUUUAGUGUCUAAUGGGAACAAACUUGUAUUUCAUUUCACUCUGUAAAUGCAACAGGAUACAUUCUCCCACAUACAGGCCAUUCAAACCUUUUGACAAGAUUAUAGGAUAUAAUCUUUGAGAUUAGCUUGGAAUUUUGCUGCUAGUUAUCCUCAAAUCAUGUCAUAUUGAAUUUGUUGUUCAUUAUUUGAAGUGUAGAGAGAUUCCUGCAAAUAAAGUUAGGACUACAUCGCCAGUGUCAUUAUGACUGAUGAUCAAUGGAGGGAUUUGGUACAAAUGUGGUCUACCCCAAACCAUAAGGUAUUUGUGAUCAAGCUCAUCUUCACCCCUCUACAUAAAUAAUAGUUUCAUCCAUUUUCAUGUGACAUAUGAGUUGGUAGUAUUGUUUAACUUCACUCAAUAAUAAUGCAACCCAAGACGUAAUUGUUUAAGUAUGUUGUAUGCUUGCCAAUCAUCCUCUAAAAGUAAUCUAUUGUUGUUUAGGAAUUAUGUUGAAAAGUUUAGCUCCCUGUAAAGUAUUCUACAGAAGUUGUUUCCAAUGUGGUGUUGGUUUCAAGUAAAUUUCUUCGCAAUGCUGGUCUUGUGUCCUCCAAGAGAAGCAACAUAAGGACAGUUUCAACAAUGAUGCAAGAGAUUUAGUCUCAAUUGGACACUGAGAGACAAGAAAAGAUGGACUUUGAGAAGAAAUGAAAACCUUAAAGGCCAAGUCACAAGCAUCCGAGGCAACCAUUGCUAAUCAAUCUACUGAAAUUGCAGAUUUGAAGAAGUCCUUAGCAGAAAAUACCAGUAUUCUUCGACAAAGAUUAAGUAUCAGUCGUAGUCAGAUGACUCCUUAAGUAUGCUUGCCAAGGUGUUGGUGUCAACCAUCCUGAAGAUCCAUCUCACAGAACUUUGCACCUCUUUUUAUCCUUAUGCUUGUUGUAUAGAACUACAACUUCUGGCUAUUAUAUGUGUUCUCUUAAUAUUUGUUAGGUUAAAGGAUUAUGAACCAUGUUCUUUUAUGUGAUUGACAUAUUAUGCUUGAAAUAUAUGUGGAUGUUGGAAAAAAAUUGUCACUUUGUAUGAUUGUGAAAUAUAUGCAUUAUGUUUUGGAUGGUUGUGGGC
rnacentral:lncRNA from 1 species